rnacentral:misc_RNA from 1 species
GAUCCAUGAACAGUGAACACCCUGUAUAUGGAGUAUUUGUUUCGAGUCAGUGGAAUAGGCAACGCAUGCACUAGUAGGGAAUGCAUUUUGCAGGGUUGAUAAUGAACUAGCAAGGUUAAACAUAUUAACAAGAAUGACAAGCAAUAAGAAAGGAUUCUCCAAUGUUACAUCUUCUAUAAGAAAUUGACACAACUAUUAAAAGACGCACCAGUUAAAGUGAAUUGUGAUUCAGGCAACAUUAUUAUAAGGAAUUUCCCAUAGCAAGCGUUAAUUAUAAAAAGUUGACAAGGGCCGGAAAAGAAAAUACUCCUGCCCAGAAAAGCAGAUGUUCCUAAUAUAUAUAUAUAUAUGUCCAGUAGCAGAAUAACAAAUGUAUUAUUUAUUCUGUGGCAAACUUCAUCCAUCUAUUUUACUGUUUUUCAGAUUUGGGGUGUCAGGUAUGACAAUGGCACCUCUUAAUCAUACUUCCAUAAUUAUUCCUGAGUGGAUCUACCAGCCCUACCUAUAUUUCUGAUCUUUUCUUAAUUGAAACCCUAAGCUCAGCAAUGAUUUAACAGUGAUUUUGUCCAUUCCCAUUUCGUACCAAAGGAAAAACACUUUAUUUAAGUCUUCAGCAGAUAAUCAAGACAUUGAGCUCUUUCUCAUUUGCCUUGAAAAGCAACAGGUAGAAGCUGUAAAUCACGAACAAUGGCAUAUUCUACCAAAUUAGAUUGCUCUAUCACUAAUAGGGUAUUUGGUACAAGGUUAACAAUGAGUAGUUAUUAUCCUUGUACCUUUUAACCCCUUGUUAAUAUUGAUUGCAUAACUAAAAAGACAAGAUCAAUUUUCAACCUAGUUAAUAUUUAUCCACUCUGAGGUUAAAUGUUAACUUUGGAAGGCUAGGUUAAUAAUUUCAGGUGUUCAAACUCAUAGGAGUAACACUUAACCCUCAAAUUUUUAACCUUGUACCAAACACAUCCUAAGAAGUAACAUGUAACACCCCUAUAUUCACUAGUUCUAUACAUUUUACCGUUCCAGUGACCAGUGUCGAUCCGGACAGUUAAGAGGAUUACAAUCAUAAUUAAGUCAUCUAGAAAAGUCAUAAAAAAAAAUUAAUAGCCAUUACAUGAAGGUUAAAUGCAAAUGAAGAAAACAAGGCAUAAUGGGUUAAAUGAGCCAAG